CCUUUCUGGGGAUGGCAAAGCAGGUGUUUAACUUUUAUAGCAGGUGUGUGCAAGAUCCGAAAUGAAACCCAAGCCAUUGACAGCGACCCAAAAAAAGAAAUGAUGCUCCGGGUCCUUUCCUAAUUAUUGCCUCCACUUCUCCCGGGUUGCCUCCCGUUGGUGCCUGAGAUGGGCAAGAAAGCAUAUAUAUAUAAAAAAACUUCCCCCCUCCUUGGCAUUGUUCUGGCAGAUCCGCUCGAGAAGGCUUCUAUUAACAAUAAGGACUUCCUGCUCCCAUGGCAAUGACCAAUUGCAACUAUCAAUGCUGGCCUCAGAAUUUCCCACCUCAAGGACCUCAGUUUGGCCCAGGUCCCCAAUGUGGCCCAGGUCUCCAGUGUGGCCCAGGUCCCCAGUGUGGUCCAGGUCCCCAGUGUGGUCCAGGUCCCCAGUGUGGCCCAGGUCCCCAGUAUGGUAUGAUGAAGCCCUCAGCAUCGUUCAUGAACAUGAACCAGCCACCAUUCAUGAACAUGAACCAACCCGCCAACUUCCCGGAACCCUACAAAAUGAAUUUUUGCAACAUACAGGGCAGCAUGCCAUGCGCCCCAUGUGGCCCAGCCCCUUGUGAUAGCAAAUACGUUGAGUCCAGUGAUGCCAAGAGCACUGAGAAACACGCAUCUUCAUGUGACACCUUGAGCCACGAAUCUUGCACCAUGAAAAAUUCAUCGCAGCCCACCGAUAGGUGUAGCUCCCAACGCCCCCCCUGUCCCUCCAUGCCGGGUAUGUCUUUAUGCUCUCCGUCAUGUGGUCCAAGCAUGGGGAGGCCACAUGGAUUCCCCAGCUCUUCCCAGUGCUUUCCACCUCGCAAUAUGUACCAGUACACCACCUCCAAGACCUUCAAGUCGUGCUACGCUAAGUAGAAGUUGGAACCAGAAAAGAAGACGAUCUUGAAAUAAAAUGAUUUGGAAAAAC